GUUUGGAGAAAUAUGCAUCAU
rnacentral:miRNA from 1 species